UUUGUUUUUGGAUUAACGCACUAGGUCUGUUUCCAGAUCGCAGUGUCAGGCGUGAGUGACACGAGAGAGCGAACGCGAGAGGAGGCGUUGUCUCCUCUGAGCAGAGGCGGGCCUCAGGAUCGGGUCCUCGCGCCUGUCAACUAUUAAUGACCCCCUCGCCUCCGCGCGCCUUCCCCGGUCCACAGGUUCCGGUGGCGGCGGCCGCACCGACGGACCCGGCGCAGGUUCCGAUGAACUCAGAAGUAACUAUGGACCCUAUACAGGGACAAGUGAACUUUGAGGAUGUGGCCGUGUACUUCUCCCAGGAGGAGUGGGGGCUCCUUGAUGAGGCUCAGAGGCUCCUGUACCGCGAUGUGAUGCUGGAGAACUUGGCACUUAUGGCCUCGCUGGGAUAUGAAUCUUCCAUGUCCCAUGGGGUUGCCUCACUGGAGCUGGGCAGCAAGCCCUGGGGAUCUGACUGGGCAGAUGUUACUCCAGGCGGGACCAGAGAGGCUCAGGGUCGUUGGCAUGGAAUGGAGGAUGAGGAGAUAGCUUUUGAGCAGAACAUUUCUGUGGGAGUGUCACAGGUCAGGACUCCCAAGGCAGGUCCUUCUACCCAGAAGGCCCACCCCUGUGAGACUUGUGGCCUGGUCUUGAAAGACAUUUUGCACAUGGCUGAGCACCAGGGAACACACCCUGGGCAGAAAUCAUACAUGCGUGGGGCAUGUGGGAAACAAUUCCGCUUCAGAGCAAACCUUUACCACCAGAAGCAGCACAGUGGAGAGGAACCCUUCAGAGGGGACAAGAGCAGCACCUUGCUUGUGAACAGCUGCCCUGUGGAACCACUGGAGAUGCCUUUUACGACAGGGAAGGGUUAUAAGGACUUCCCAGCUAGCUCAAGCAUUUUCCAGCACCAUGCCCCUCAGAGUAAGUGGAAGCCUAACAGUAACACCAAAUGUGUGGAUGCUUUUCAGAGCGGACAAAGGCAUUACGAGUGCAGUGAAUGUGGGAAAGCCUUCAGCCGGAAAGACUCACUUGUCCAGCACCAGAGAGUCCACACUGGAGAAAGGCCUUAUGAGUGCAGCGAGUGUGGGAAAACCUUCAGCCGCAAACCCAUACUUGCUCAGCACCAGAGAAUCCACACUGGAGAAAUGCCAUACGAGUGUGGCAUAUGUGGGAAAGUUUUCAAUCAUAGCUCCAACCUUAUCGUACACCAGAGAGUCCACACGGGAGCAAGGCCUUACAAGUGCAGUGAAUGUGGGAAAGCCUACAGCCACAAAUCCACACUUGUUCAGCAUGAGAGUAUCCACACUGGAGAAAGGCCUUAUGAGUGCAGUGAGUGUGGGAAAUACUUUGGUCACAAAUACAGACUCAUUAAACACUGGAGUGUUCAUACUGGAGCAAGGCCCUACGAGUGCAUUGCAUGUGGGAAGUUCUUUAGCCAGAGCUCUGACCUUAUUGCACACCAGAGAGUUCACAAUGGUGAAAAGCCCUAUGUGUGCAGUGACUGUGGAAAAGCCUUUAGCCACAAACAUGUACUUGUUCAGCACCAUAGAAUUCACACUGGAGAAAGGCCAUAUAAGUGCAGUGAGUGUGGGAAAGCCUUCAGGCAAAGAGCUUCCCUCAUCCGACAUUGGAAAGUUCACACUGGAGAAAGGCCUUAGGAUGGCAGGGAAUACACUAUUUCCUUGUUCAACAUAGUGACUGACAGCAGAGGGAAGCUCUGAGAUUAGCCUUCGUGAGUAGCCAUCAGCUGGAAGUUGAACCUCAUACGUUUCAGCAUCCACCCCCGGGAGAUUAUUCUGAGUGUCACCUAUGUGGGAAGCUUUCUGGUGCUGUGUUGCACUUUGUAACCUGUCCUGGAGCCUUGCCAGAAUUCUGUCACCGCCCAUGUCUCUAAAAAAACGAACAAAAACCAGCCAUGUAUGGAAUGGCACCUAGUGCAUAAGUCAUCCCAACAUGUUCUAAUAGGCAGGCCUCUGCUCCUCCCUUCCCUAGAGGGAUCAUCAGUACCUGGAGCCCAUUAAAAAUCCUCACUCCUUCAUGCUUUCUCCUCCACCAGCUGGUAUAAGCAUGGACAUGACCUAGUUUUGGUCAGAAGGUUGGAAGCUUUGUUCUGCUGGCUGCUUGCAGAGGUUUCCAUUUUUCAUGAACUUUGUUGGUCUCAUUUUGCACUCAUGAUGGAUUUGUCCAGCCUCCAAGUCACCUACCUUAGGAAUUGCCCAUCUCAUAGUGUUUGUUUUGGCAACAAAUGCCUGAGUUUUUAUAAACUAUAAUUUUGGGGAUCCUGUUCACUCUGUGGGUUGUAUUGAGAACAGAAUUGGGUUCUGCCAGCGUGAGGGGAGGAACAGCUUUUGUGAGAGCUCCAAAUGUUAUGUCCCAGUGGUGUUAGCAGAAUGGCAAGCAAAGAACAGCUCUCAUUUUAGCCUAACUUGCAUUACUGCUCAAGACCUCCUAUGAAAGAAUACUGAUCUUGGUGGGCCUAAUCUUUUGGCCUGUAUGCCAAGAUUAUUUGUGUGAUCAAGGUCACCCUGAGCAGUGGGCAGUUGUGACAGCCUCUAGUGUAUCUAGGAGCAGUAUGAAUUGGUUCCCUUGUUCCAGAGGGAUGUUUCAUAGUCCCGUAGUCUCUCUCUCUCUCUUUUUUUUUUUUUAAAGAUUUAUUUAUUUGACAGAGACAUAGCAAGAGAGGGAACACAAGCAGGGGGAGUGGGAGAGAGAAGCAGGCUUCCCGUGAAGCAGGGAGCCCGCGUCCCAUAGUCUCUUGAUGAGAACUUGACCCCUGGGACCUGCCAAUGCCCCUGAAAUCUAUUAUUUAGUAGGCGGAUGUCACUGUCCCCUAAAAAGACUAGGUAGGAAUCGUAAUUGGCACAGAGAUACUGAUUAAUUGGGAGUUGGGAGCAAACUAUAGGGAAUGUGACUCUUAUAAAGGUAUAUCCACAUGUUUCCAUCACUGUGGCUUUGAUAUAGGGUUUAUAGAAAUUCUCAGGAUUCCCAUAUUUAUGUCUUUCUUAUGGCUACGGUCACUGUCAGAGCAAUCAAUCGAAGCCUUUUCUGCAAUAAACACAUUUAUAGUAUACA